rnacentral:lncRNA from 1 species
AUGGACGUCGCCCUGCAGUUACUGCAGGUGGCGCUGUUCGUCAUGGCGGUGUAUCUGUACCGUGCAUUUGAAGAAGGCCGCGCUCUGAAACGGACCGAUCUGCUGGCUGGCAGAGACCACGCCCCCACCGAUGACCUGGGGGAGCUGAACUACGCCUGCAAUGACCAGGGUGUGUCGUGUCCUCACAGGGUAUACCCCGCCUCUCACCCCAAAGCUAGCUAGGCUAGGCUCCAGCCCCCCGUGACCCCUCCACUGCAGGACAAGCGGGUUAACAGAAGAUGGAUGGAUGGAUGUCCAAACUGAUGCCUUCAGGCAGAAAACAAGAAGAGAAGCGCGAGAAGAAAGAGCGCCAAGAACGAGAGAAGCAC